rnacentral:rRNA from 1 species
CCUACGGGUGUCAGCAGUGGGGAAUAUUGGACAAUGGGGGGAACCCUGAUCCAGCCAUGCCGCGUGUGUGAAGAAGGCCCUCGGGUUGUAAAGCACUUUCAGUGAGGAAGAACGCCUGGUGGUUAAUACCCAUCAGGAAAGACAUCACUCACAGAAGAAGCACCGGCUAACUCCGUGCCAGCAGCCGCGGUAAUACGGAGGGUGCGAGCGUUAAUCGGAAUUACUGGGCGUAAAGCGCGCGUAGGUGGCUUGAUAAGCCGGUUGUGAAAGCCCCGGGCUCAACCUGGGAACGGCAUCCGGAACUGUCAAGCUAGAGUGCAGGAGAGGAAGGUAGAAUUCCCGGUGUAGCGGUGAAAUGCGUAGAGAUCGGGAGGAAUACCAGUGGCGAAGGCGGCCUUCUGGACUGACACUGACACUGAGGUGCGAAAGCGUGGGUAGCAAACAGGAUUAGAUACCCCUGUAGUC